ensembl:lncRNA
GGCUAAAUUUACUGGUAGAAAUUAUCUUAAUACUUUAUUCGGCUAUUGUUUAUAUUCGGGAGCAGUUGUUGUGGGAGUGUGAUGACAGAUGGAUGGUUCUGAAGAACGUUGGAUCAGCAGGAAACAGCCACUCCUGAUGAAUCCACUUCCUCCUGGUUGACGUCUGUGUUUUAUUUCAGUAUAAACAACAAAACACUGAUAUGCACAAUGUAAGUUUAUAAGAAAAAAAUUAUGUAUUCAUUAAUUAGGUAUAAUUGAUACAAUGCAUGUAGCGGAAUUAUUUCUCCUUGUACGUAGACUAAUCAAGUUAACAACAGUGUUUGCUCACAAAACAAACCUUUGAGUACAAACCAACAGGUGCACAGCAACAGCGAUCAGGAGCAAAUACACUUCUCUAAUAUGGAUUUGUAAUAGUUAUGUAUUUUAUUAUAUAUCAGAGUGCAGUUGUCUUUAAUUAUGUUAAUUCAAUGCACUUUUGCAAAUAGUGUAUCAGGAAAUCUACCUGAUUCAAUUAUAAAGAGUACUUUUUUACAAUACAAUUCUUUGGAUCAUGGUGUAGUUUUUUCAAUUAUAACAAAAAGAUUUGUAUUUUAUGUUUUUUUAGCUUCUGAAUUAACUUUUCAAUUCUUUGUUCAGGCAAAUUUUGUUAAUCUCAUUAAUAGUAAAUUUCAAAUGUUUUGUCAAAUUAGUAAAAACAGUAAUAGUAUUGUAUAAAUAUAGGAGUUGAUAGGAGAGAGGUGAGAGUGAGAGAAGAGAAUCUCUCAGAUCAUUCAAAAAGGUAGAUCAGGUACCAAUAACCCGGGUGAGUGAGUGUUCAGAGGAGAGACAGAGAGCGGGAGAGUGGAGAUACUCUCAGAGUUCUGUUCAGACAGGUUGCAAUAACCUUAGGUUCAGGUUUCAGGGUUCAGGGUUCAGGUUUCAGAAUAUCAGGGUUUUCAGGCUUCUGUAUACAGAUAGAGUGGGAUAGAAGAGGGAUACAAAGAUAGAGUUUCCAAAAUCAGACAGAGCGGUAGAUUUGACAGGAAAGCUAGAGUUAUCAAAUUGUAGACAGAGUGGAUACAAGGUAUAGGAGAGACAGAGAGCCAAUGGGAUAGAGGAGGAGAGAUGCUGGACAGCAGGACACCUGCAAGACACAAGAAAAACAUCCGUUAGACAAUCUUCUACCACCACUGGAUCAUUGAAGGUGUCAUCUAACCGUAACAUAUAUAUAUAUAUAUGCUGGCAGGCACUUAUUGAGUGUUGAUUAAUUAAUUAUAGACUAUUCUCUUGGAAAAUGUUGACAGAGGGACAUCAAAACUGUAGAAGGCUAAAGCUGUUGGUUGUACAUCAAGAACUGUCAACAAUGAUUCCUGAGCCGAUGUGGGGCUCCCGUGAUGCUAGUCACCAGCCGUUAUGGUCUGCCGUCCAAGAUAGAAAAGGCGAGUCGGCAGGAGGACGAGGAGGGUGACGGAUGAAGAGAGGGAGAGAAAAGAAGAAAUUUUCAGUUCAGUUUAUUUAAAAUGUACUUUCAAUGUAUUUCCUUAUUGAUAAUUUUUGUCUCAUUGAAAAAUCACAAUUUUCACAAAAUUAAUAUAAAGAAUAUAAAUAUUAAUUGCAGUGUGGCAGAUUUGUGGCAAUACUGACUGAUGUCAACAAGACAACAAAUAAUGAACAUACAUAUUGAAUAUAUUAUUUCAAUAUGUGUUAAUGCCUCUCGGGGACUUUAAUAAUUAAAAUGGCUCUC